GACGAACGCUGGCGGCGUGCUUAACACAUGCAAGUCGAACGAAGUGGCGAACGGGUGAGUAACGCGUAAUCAACCUGCCCUUCAGAGGGGGAUAACAGUUGGAAACGACUGCUAAUACCGCAUACUGAAGGAGGGGAUUGCGUCUGAUUGGCUAGUCGGAGGGGUAACGGCCCACCAAGGCGAUGAUCAGUAGGCGGUCCGAGGAGGAGGACGGCCAACUUGGGAAUGAGAAACGGCCCAGGCUCCUACGGGAGGCAGCAGUGGGGAAUCAUCCGCAAUGGGCGAAAGGCCGACGGAGCAACGCCCGGUGAGUGAUGACGGGCCUCGGGUUGUAAAGCUAUGUUAAUCGGGGCGCGGUACCGGAAUAGAAAGCCACGGCUAACUACGUGCCAGCAGCCGCGGUAAUAC
rnacentral:rRNA from 1 species